rnacentral:rRNA from 1 species
AGUGAACGCUGGCGGCAGGCCUAACACAUGCAAGUCGAACGGCAGCACAGUAAGAGCUUGCUCUUACGGGUGGCGAGUGGCGGACGGGUGAGGAAUACAUCGGAAUCUACUUUUUCGUGGGGGAUAACGUAGGGAAACUUACGCUAAUACCGCAUACGACCUACGGGUGAAAGCAGUGGAUCUUCGGACCUUGCGCGAUUGAAUGAGCCGAUGUCGGAUUAGCUAGUUGGCGUGGUAAAGGCCCACCAAGGCGACGAUCCGUAGCUGGUCUGAGAGGAUGAUCAGCCACACUGGAACUGAGACACGGUCCAGACUCCUACGGGAGGCAGCAGUGGGGAAUAUUGGACAAUGGGCGAAAGCCUGAUCCAGCCAUACCGCGUGGGUGAAGAAGGCCUUCGGGUUGUAAAGCCCUUUUGUUGGGAAAGAAAAGCAGCAGGUUAAUACCCCGCUGUUCUGACGGUACCCAAAGAAUAAGCACCGGCUAACUUCGUG